GUUUGAUCCUGGCUCAGAUUAAACGCUGGCGGCAUGCCUUACACAUGCAAGUCGAACGGCAGCACGGGGGCAACCCUGGUGGCGAGUGGCGGACGGGUGAGUAAAGCAUCGGAACGUAUCCUGGAGUGGGGGAUAACGUAGCGAAAGUUACGCUAAUACCGCAUAUUCUGUGAGCAGGAAAGCAGGGGAUCGCAAGACCUUGCGCUCUGGGGAGCGGCCGAUGUCGGAUUAGCUAGUUGGUGGGGUAAAGGCCUACCAAGGCGACGAUCCGUAGCGGGUCUGAGAGGAUGAUCCGCCACACUGGGACUGAGACACGGCCCAGACUCCUACGGGAGGCAGCAGUGGGGAAUUUUGGACAAUGGGCGGAAGCCUGAUCCAGCCAUGCCGCGUGAGUGAAGAAGGCCUCGGUGUAAG
rnacentral:rRNA from 1 species